UGCAGAGGGGAGUGGAAGGAGGAGCUGUUUCUCUAGGCCUUUUCAACAUACCUGUGGAGAUUUCUGUCACUGAAAGAAAUACCAACAUUGAAGAUUGCUAUUUAAAACAUUGCUGGUUCCUGUCAAGAAAACUUAAUUUCUCUGAAAACUUUCAUUCAUAUUGGACUCAAACUGAUAAAGUGAUGCCUGGAGGGUAGAGUUGAAUUUCCCAAGAUUCAGCAAGAAGCAAAGUGAUAAUUCAAACCCACAUCCUUUAACUUCAGAUGGAAUACUUUCACAAUUAAAUUAUGAAUGUCUUAAAAUUUCCUU
rnacentral:lncRNA from 1 species